UAGAGGUGACAGGCCAUGCAGACAGAGACAGAGACAGGGCACAUCUAGUAGGGUGAAUGGUAUCUCAUAUAGAGGUGACAGGCCAUGCAGACAGAGAGAGAGAGAGAGGCACAUCUAGCAGGGUGAAUGGUCUCUCAUAUAGAGGUGACAGGCCAUGCAGACAGAGACAGAGACAGGGCACAUCUAGUAGGGUGAAUGGUCUCUCAUAUAGAGGUGACAGGCCAUGCAGACAGAGACAGAGACAGGGCACAUCUAGUAGGGUGAAUGGUAUCUCAUAUAGAGGUGACAGGCCAUGCAGACAGAGAGACAGAGAGAGGCACAUCUAGUAGGGUGAAUGGUCUCUCAUAUAGAGGUGACAGGCCAUGCAGACAGAGACAGAGACAGGGCACAUCUAGUAGGGUGAAUGGUAUCUCAUAUAGAGGUGACAGGCCAUGCAGACAGAGACAGAGACAGGGCACAUCUAGUAGGGUGAAUGGUAUCUCAUAUAGAGGUGACAGGCCAUGCAGACAGAGACAGGGCACAUCUAGUAGGGUGAAUGGUCUCUCAUAUAGAGGUGACAGGCCAUGCAGACAGAGAGACAGAGACAGGGCACAUCUAGUAGGGUGAAUGGUCUCUCAUAUAGAGGUGACAGGCCAUGCAGACAGAGACAGAGACAGGGCACAUCUAGUAGGGUGAAUGGUCUCUCAUAUAGAGGUGACAGGCCAUGCAGACAGAGAGACAGAGACAGGGCACAUCUAGUAGGGUGAAUGGUCUCUCAUAUAGAGGUGACAGGCCAUGCAGACAGAGAGACAGAGAGAGGGCACAUCUAGUAGGGUGAAUGGUCUCUCAUAUAGAGGUGACAGGCCAUGCAGACAGAGAGACAGAGACAGGGCACAUCUAGUAGGGUGAAUGGUCUCUCAUAUAGAGGUGACAGGCCAUGCAGACAGAGACAGAGACAGGGCACAUCUAGCAGGGUGAAUGGUCUCUCAUAUAGAGGUGACAGGCCAUGCAGACAGAGACAGGGCACAUCUAGCAGGGUGAAUGGUCUCUCAUAUAGAGGUGACAGGCCAUAGAGACAGAGACAGGGCACAUCUAGCAGGGUGAAUGGUCUCUCAUAUAGAGGUGACAGGCCAUGCAGACAGAGACAGAGACAGGGCACAUCUAGCAGGGUGAAUGGUCUCUCAUAUAGAGGUGACAGGCCAUGCAGACAGAGACAGAGACAGGGCACAUCUAGUAGGGUGAAUGGUCUCUCAUAUAGAGGUGACAGGCCAUGCAGACAGAGACAGAGACAGGGCACAUCUAGUAGGGUGAAUGGUCUCUCAUAUAGAGGUGACAGGCCAUGCAGACAGAGACAGAGACAGGGCACAUCUAGUAGGGUGAAUGGUCUCUCAUAUAGAGGUGACAGGCCAUGCAGACAGAGACAGAGACAGGGCACAUCUAGUAGGGUGAAUGGUCUCUCAUAUAGAGGUGACAGGCCAUGCAG